AAAAAGGACCGAUCUAUUGUCUCCAGAUCUGACCCUUCAUCGUAUAGUUAUGGCGCUUUGUCGUCUACGUCCUCGGACUCUUCUAUUUCCAAUGAUAAGCAAGGUUCAAGAGGUGGUGUGGUUGAUUUCGGAACGCCCACUACUGUUCUCCCUGAAAUAUCAGGUGACUGGUCUGAUAUCUCCUCUGAUAUUUAUUCAGAGCUGGUUCAGGCUUUUAAGCUGAUAGACAGGGAUAAUGAUGGGAUUAUUUC
rnacentral:misc_RNA from 1 species